GGGACCACAAAUCUGAGUCAAAAAAAUAUUUUAAUAUUACUUUGGGAGUUUACUAUGUGUGAAUUUGAUUGUGUGAAAUUUUCGUGUUUAAAUUUUGUUGUUUGAGUAACUGAUUAAAUAAAAAGGACUUAAUCGCGUAAAAAUAAAAAUUUAGGGGUUAAAGCUAAAAGUAUCUAUUUGUUGUUGUCUUUUUAUUUGGAA
rnacentral:lncRNA from 1 species